UGGGGAAUUUUGGACAAUGGGCGAAAGCCUGAUCCAGCAAUGCCGCGUGUGUGAAGAAGGCCUUCGGGUUGUAAAGCACUUUUGUCCGGAAAGAAAUGGCUCUGGUUAAUACCUGGGGUCGAUGACGGUACCGGAAGAAUAAGGACCGGCUAACUACGUGCCAGCAGCCGCGGUAAUACGUAGGGUCCAAGCGUUAAUCGGAAUUACUGGGCGUAAAGCGUGCGCAGGCGGUUGUGCAAGACCGAUGUGAAAUCCCGAGCUUAACUUGGGAAUUGCAUUGGUGACUGCACGGCUAGAGUGUGUCAGAGGGGGGUUAGAAUUCCACGUGUAGCAGUGAAAUGCGUAGAGAUGUGGAGGAAUACCGAUGGCGAAGGCAGCCCCCUGGGAUAACACUGACGCUCAUGCACGAAAGCGUGGGGAGCAAACAGGAUUAGAU
rnacentral:rRNA from 1 species